GGGAAAUCCCUUCGGGGACAUAUAGACAGGUGGUGCAUGGUUGUCGUCAGCUCGUGUCGUGAGAUGUUGGGUUAAGUCCCGCAACGAGCGCAACCCUUACCUUUAGUUGCUACGCAAGAGCACUCUAGAGGGACUGCCGUUGACAAAACGGAGGAAGGUGGGGAUGACGUCAAAUCAUCAUGCCCCUUAUGACCUGGGCUACACACGUACUACAAUGGCAAUUAACAGAGGGAAGCAAAACAGCGAUGUGGAGCAAAUCCCGAAAAAUUGUCCCAGUUCAGAUUGCAGGCUGAAACUCGCCUGCAUGAAGUCGGAAUUGCUAGUAAUCGCAGAUCAGAAUGCUGCGGUGAAUACGUUCCCGGGCCUUGUACACACCGCCCGUCACACCAUGGGAGUCGGUAACACCCGAAGCCGAUAGUCUAACCGCAAGGAGGACGUCGUCGAAGGUGGGAUUGAUGACUGGGGUGAAGUCGUAACAAGGUAGCCGUAUCGGAAGGUGCGGU
rnacentral:rRNA from 1 species